rnacentral:rRNA from 1 species
GAUGAACGCUAGCGGCAGGCAUAAUACAUGCAAGGCGAAGGGGCAGCAAUGUCACUGUCGUACGGGUGCGUAACGCGUAUGCAACCUACCUAUCACUGGGGGAUAGCCCGGGGAAACCCGGAUUAAUACCGCAUAAAACAGGGGCACCGCAUGGUGAUAUUUGUUAAAGAUUUAUUGGUGAUAGAUGGGCAUGCGUUCGAUUAGCUAGUUGGCGGGGUAACGGCCCACCAAGGCGACGAUCGAUAGGGGAGCUGAGAGGUUGGUCCCCCACACGGGCACUGAGAUACGGGCCCGACUCCUACGGGAGGCAGCAGUAGGGAAUAUUGGGCAAUGGAUGCAAGUCUGACCCAGCCAUGCCGCGUGCCGGAUGAAGGCCCUCAGGGUUGUAAACGGCUUUUAUUCGGGAAGAAGAGCAGGGAUGCGUCCUUGUGUGACGGUACCGAAUGAAUAAGCACCGGCUAACUCCGUGCCAGCCGCCGCCGUAAUAC